rnacentral:rRNA from 1 species
GUGGGGAAUCUUGCGCAAUGGGCGAAAGCCUGACGCAGCCAUGCCGCGUGAAUGAUGAAGGUCUUAGGAUUGUAAAAUUCUUUCACCGGGGACGAUAAUGACGGUACCCGGAGAAGAAGCUCCGGCUAACUUCGUGCCAGCAGCCGCGGUAAUACGAAGGGGGCUAGCGUUGCUCAGAAUUACUGGGCGUAAAGGGCGCGUAGGCGGACAGCUUAGUCAGAGGUGAAAGCCCAGGGCUCAACCUUGGAAUUGCCUUUGAUACUGGCUGUCUUGAGUUUGGGAGAGGUGAGUGGAACGCCGAGUGUAGAGGUGAAAUUCGUAGAUAUUCGGAAGAACACCAGUGGCGAAGGCGACUCACUGGCCCAAUACUGACGCUGAGGCGCGAAAGCGUGGGGAGCAAACAGGAUUAGAUACCCUAGUAGUCC